rnacentral:rRNA from 1 species
CAUGCAAGUCGAACGGUGACCUCGAAGCUUGCUUUGAGUGAUCAGUGGCGAACGGGUGAGUAACACGUGAGCAACCUGCCCUUGACUCUGGGAUAACAGCUGGAAACAGCUGCUAAUACCGGAUACGACCUCGACCGACAUCAGUUGAGGUGGAAAGCUCCGGCGGUCAAGGAUGGGCUCGCGGCCUAUCAGCUAGUUGGUGAGGUAACGGCUCACCAAGGCUUCGACGGGUAGCCGGCCUGAGAGGGCGACCGGCCACACUGGGACUGAGAUACGGCCCAGACUCCUACGGGAGGCAGCAGUGGGGAAUAUUGCACAAUGGGCGCAAGCCUGAUGCAGCAACGCCGCGUGCGGGAUGACGGCCUUCGGGUUGUAAACCGCUUUCAGCUCCGACGAAGCGCAAGUGACGGUAGGAGCAGAAGAAGGACCGGCCAACUACGUGCCAGCAGCCGCGGUGAUACGUAGGGUCCGAGCGUUGUCCGGAAUUAUUGGGCGUAAAGGGCUUGUAGGCGGUUUGUCGCGUCGGAAGUGAAAACUCAGGGCUCAACCCUGAGCCUGCUUCCGAUACGGGCAAACUAGAGGGAUGCAGGGGAGAAUGGAAUUCCUGGUGGAGCGGUGGAAUGCGCAGAUAUCAGGAGGAACACCAGUGGCGAAGGCGGUUCUCUGGGCAUUACCUGACGCUGAGAAGCGAAAGCGUGGGGAGCAAACAGGCUUAGAUACCCUGGUAGUCCACGCCGUAAACGGUGGGCACUAGGUGUGGGACUCAUUCCACGAGUUCCGUGCCGUAGCUAACGCAUUAAGUGCCCCGCCUGGGGAGUACGGCCGCAAGGCUAAAACUCAAAGGAAUUGACGGGGGCCCGCACAAGCGGCGGAGCAUGCGGAUUAAUUCGAUGCAACGCGAAGAACCUUACCUGGGUUUGACAUAUACCGGAAAG